AAGUCGAACGGUAGCACAGAGAGCUUGCUCUCGGGUGACGAGUGGCGGACGGGUGAGUAAUGUCUGGGAAACUGCCUGAUGGAGGGGGAUAACUACUGGAAACGGUAGCUAAUACCGCAUAACGUCGCAAGACCAAAGAGGGGGACCUUCGGGCCUCUUGCCAUCAGAUGUGCCCAGAUGGGAUUAGCUAGUAGGUGGGGUAACGGCUCACCUAGGCGACGAUCCCUAGCUGGUCUGAGAGGAUGACCAGCCACACUGGAACUGAGACACGGUCCAGACUCCUACGGGAGGCAGCAGUGGGGAAUAUUGCACAAUGGGCGCAAGCCUGAUGCAGCCAUGCCGCGUGUAUGAAGAAGGCCUUCGGGUUGUAAAGUACUUUCAGCGGGGAGGAAGGUGUUGCGGUUAAUAACCGCAGCAAUUGACGUUACCCGCAGAAGAAGCACCGGCUAACUCCGUGCCAGCAGCCGCGGUAAUACGGAGGGUGCAAGCGUUAAUCGGAAAUUACUGGGGCGUAAAGCGCACGCAGGCGGUCUGUCAAGUCGGAUGUGAAAUCCCCCGGGGCUCAACCUGGGAACUGCAUUCGAAACUGGCAGGCUGGAGUCUUGUAGAGGGGGGGUAGAAAUUCCAGGGUGUAGCGGUGAAAUGCGUAGAGAUCUGGGAGGAAAUACCGGGUGGGCGAAGGCGGCCCCCUGGACAAAGACUGACGCUCAGGUGCGAAAGCGUGGGGGAGCAAACAGGAUUAGAUACCCUGGUAGUCCACGCCGUAAACGAUGUCGAUUUGGAGGUUGUGCCCUUGAGGCGUGGCUUCCGGAGCUAACGCGUUAAAUCGACCGCCUGGGAGUACGGCCGCAAGGUUAAACUCAAUGAAUUGACGGGGCCGCACAAGCGGUGGAGCAUGUGGUUUAAUUCGAUGCACGCGAGAACAUUACCUGGUCUUUG
rnacentral:rRNA from 1 species